CCUUACUGUAGAUGACUUAUUGGGAUAUGAAAAUACCUGUAUUUUGAGAAUAUUUAUUCUCUUCAAGUUUAUGGUGUUUUGUUUUCUCUAGUUCCCACAUCUGGUUGGUUCUGUUUCUUCCUGGACAUCUCCUAGGAUGCUCAACACUGCUCCCUUCUAGGCUUCAACUCUACCUACUACAGGGAAGAAAAAAGGAGUGAAACUAAGUUUUGUCUGCUGUCUAAAUCUCCCACCUUUAGCAAAGAUCAGUGGCAGUGUAUUACCAGGAAGAUAUUUGUUUGAGGAAUUGUGUAAUAGUUAAUUGUAUGUGUCAGGUUGGAGGGUGUUUUUGGAUAAGAUUAAUAAUCUGUGAACUUCGAGUAAAACAAAUCUCACUUCAUAGUGCAGGUGGGCCGUACACAAUCAGCUGAAUGUGCAAAUAGAGCAAAAAGACCAAAUUUCCUGAGCAAGAGAGAAUUCUUCAGCAGAUGCCCUUGGAUUUUAUUACAUCACCAGCUCUCUUGGGUCUCCAGCCUGUGGAUACACACUACAGAUUUGGGACUUGCCGGCCUCCAUAAUCACAUGAGAACCAUAUCUACAAGGAACAUCAUUUCCAUGCCUACCCCAAGGGGUGUAGCCAGUGAAAGCAGUAUCUCCUGGCAGUGGAUUAAUUGGGAGAUGCAUAUAGCUUCAGAAGCAGAUGCUGAGCCUCAAAUCUGCUAG
rnacentral:lncRNA from 1 species